rnacentral:rRNA from 1 species
UACGUAGGGCGCAAGCGUUGUCCGGAAUUAUUGGGCGUAAAGAGCUCGUAGGCGGCCUGUUACGUCUGCUGUGAAAUCCCGGGGCUUAACCCCGGGCGUGCAGUGGAUACGGGCAGGCUGGAGGCAGGCAGGGGAGAACGGAAUUCCUGGUGUAGCGGUGAAAUGCGCAGAUAUCAGGAGGAACACCGGUGGCGAAGGCGGGUCUCUGGGCAACAACUGACGCUGAGGAGCGAAAGCGUGGGGAGCGAACAGG